rnacentral:rRNA from 1 species
AUGGACGCUGGCGGCGUGCCUAAUACAUGCAAGUCGAGCGAACAGACGAGGAGCCUGCUCCUCUGACGUUAGCGGCGGACGGGUGAGUAACACGUGGAUAACCUACCUAUAAGACUGGGAUAACUUCGGGAAACCGGAGCUAAUACCGGAUAAUAUAUUGAACCGCAUGGUUCAAUAGUGAAAGACGGUUUUGCUGUCACUUAUAGAUGGAUCCGCGCCGCAUUAGCUAGUUGGUAAGGUAACGGCUUACCAAGGCAACGAUGCGUAGCCGACCUGAGAGGGUGAUCGGCCACACUGGAACUGAGACACGGUCCAGACUCCUACGGGAGGCAGCAGUAGGGAAUCUUCCGCAAUGGGCGAAAGCUUGACGGAGCAACGCCGCGUGAGUGAUGAAGGUCUUCGGAUCGUAAAACUCUGUUAUUAGGGAAGAACAAAUGUGUAAGUAACUAUGCACGUCUUGACGGUACCUAAUCAGAAAGCCACGGCUAACUACGUG